AUUGAACGCUGGCGGCAGGCCUAACACAUGCAAGUCGAACGGAGGGGCGGAGGGGGAAGGAAUACAUAGGAAUCGGCCAGGUAGUGGGGGAGAACGACCGGAAACGGGAGCGAAAACCGCAUACUCUCGGCUGCGCCUGGGUCGGAUUAGCUAGUUGGUGGGGUAAAGGCAUACAAGGGCGACGAUCCCUAACUGGUCUGAGAGGAUGAGCAGCCACACUGGAACUGAGACACGGUCCAGACUCCUACGGGAGGCAGCAGUGGGGAAUAUUGGACAAUGGGCGCAAGCCUGAUGCAGCCAUGCCGCGUGUGUGAAGAAGGUCUUCGGUUUGUAAAGUACUUGAAGCUGGGAGGCGUUACCCACAGAAGAAGCACCGGCUAACUCCGUGCCAGCAGCCGCGGUAAUAC
rnacentral:rRNA from 1 species